UUAUAUGAUAUGAUGAUUUAAGAAGUCAUAGAGUACUAUGUGAUACAGGUGUUUAUGUUCUAUCUUAAUAGUCAUAGAUUUGUUUAUGUUCUAAAUCAUAGUCAACUAUGUGAUAAAGGUCUGUUUAUGUUCUAUCUUAAUAGUCAUAGAGUACUUUGUGACAAAGGUCUGUUUAUGUUCCAUCUUAAUAGUCAUAGAAUACUAUGUGAUAAAGGUCUGUUUAUGUUCCAUCUUAAUAGUCAUAGAGUACUAUGUGACAAAGGUCUGUUUAUGUUCUAUCUUAAUUCAAUUGACUGUCUUAUUUGGUUCUGCAGUUUCAUAAGGCAAUUAUACCAUUCGGGGGAGUAUUGUUCUUGAUUGCUAUAGAUUGUACAAAUGAUAUAACCUAUAAACCUGUACAUUGUACAUCAAUAUGGAUUUAAAAUUCACUAAUCAUUGAUUUCUACUUUCGAUAAGGGAGAUAACCAACUUCAAAUUACAAUUUUAGAAGUUAAAAAUUGUGAUUCUAGAAAAG
rnacentral:lncRNA from 1 species